rnacentral:rRNA from 1 species
UACGUAGGGGGCAAGCGUUGUCCGGAUUUACUGGGCGUAAAGAGCUCGUAGGCGGUUUGUCGCGUCUGCCGUGAAAGUCCGGGGCUCAACUCCGGAUCUGCGGUGGGUACGGGCAGACUAGAGUGAUGUAGGGGAGACUGGAAUUCCUGGUGUAGCGGUGAAAUGCGCAGAUAUCAGGAGGAACACCGAUGGCGAAGGCAGGUCUCUGGGCAUUAACUGACGCUGAGGAGCGAAAGCAUGGGGAGCGAACAGG